rnacentral:lncRNA from 8 species
GAUCAGGCUUCUCAGAAGGAUCAGGCUUCUCAGAAGGAUCAGGCUUCUCAGAAUGAUCAGGCUUCUCAGAAUGAUCAGGUUUCUCAGAAUGAUCAGGCUUCUCAGAAGGAUCAGGCUUCUCAGAAUGAUCAGGUUUCUCAGAAUGAUCAGGCUUCUCAGAAUGGAUUGGUGUCACAGUGGUGCAGAUCAGUUCUAAACUUUUAUCCACUUAUCGAGCACAACCAGAGUGAAAUCACAUGGCAAAUACUUUCCCAUACUUCAGCUUUGAUUUUAGUUUGCCAUUAGAAUAGCCAGACUUUUGCAUUCAUAAGUGCAGUCAGUUGUUCUACUUUUACUAGGCUAUGUCAUGCUACAGGAUUAAACUACAGACAGGACACAGACCCUAUAUGACAGCUCACAUUGACAGCUCACACAGUUAAGUUCAGAAGAACAGAUAAAGCAUACAGGCCUACAUGCAGUGUAGUUCACCAAAUGGUCAACAUAUAACGAUAUCUAUACUAGACAUCUAAACUCCCCUCUACUAUCAACCACAAUACACACACAGCUCCUGAGAGCCCCGCAGAAGGCAGUGCUCCAGUGUUCACUCCACAUCCGCACUGCCGCGAGAGAGACCAGAGAUCGGAGAGGAAGGAAACGAGCUGGAACUGCUCGCUCUAUGACCGCAUCACUUUCACCCAGACAGACAGCAAGAGCCGAGCAUGGUCCGUUAACCGGUUAUAACAGCGCGCGGCGGAGAAGUGCGGUGUCCAUGACAACGCGCCUUUUGCUUCCGCGUUCAGACAUUUUCAUCUGCAUGGUGUAAUUUCAUCCCGAUUCGCGCUGGCAGGCCAGUACAGGAGGUUGUGCGCCUCUUUUCCCGGAUAUCUGACAGGAGUGGGUAGGGAGGGGCUGGAGGGGUACGGGGUAGUGUGUGGCGGAGUUGGAAAUUGCCUUGUCUUGGCGUGAUUCAAAAUGAACCUUUACCCCCCCUCCUCUUAAUAAAUAACCUAGAUAAUUUGAUAAUUUAGAGAGCAAAGUAAAGCGAAGUAGCCUAGAUCAUUCCAUAAUUUAGAGAGCGAAGUGAAGGGGAAAUUACGCACCUCUUUGAGGACAGAGGUUCCUCAGAAUAGCCUAAUUUAUAUGUAGUUAAAAGUAAAGCCACCGUGUUUCAGCUCUUGGCCUUCAUGAGUUUUAGGCUAGGCUACAGAAGAUAAUAUAUGAAUAAUGUUUUCAAUAAACUGACAAAUAGCCUAGAUGAUGAUGGUGAUAAAUCCUUGUCAAGCAAGCCUCAAUAAACAGGCUACAAAGUAGUUUGUAUUAGGUCUCUUCUCCGGAUGUUUAGCCUACUAAUUGAUGAUCAGGGUGAGCCAGUGAAGAUGGAAACUCUUGACAGGUCCAAGAGGUCCGAAGGAAUUACAUCAUGGUUUAUGGCGACAUCUCUUGGUCAACAUCCAUAUUGCUAAUAUUCUACAAUAGCAUACUUCCAUAGAACACUUUCUGUGUUUACAAAAAUUCACGGACGAGGGCGAUGCGCGCAAAUUGGUGGCAGAACAAGGGGGAGUUCUUAUAGAACACCAGCAAAAAAAGCCUCUAUUUACAUGUUGCUUAUGAAUGAAUUUCAGACUACUUUUAGAUUAGAUCUAAUGUGUGUCAUCAUCAUAAAUUAACUGCAAAUACUUAAAAAAAAACACCACAACUUCAACUAGUAAAAUGGCUCUUUGGAUAGCUUUUGCUACAGCCUAAAUCAAUGAGUGUUAGCAUUCUAGCUAACAACUGCUGCAUCCAAAAUAGUUAUUUUGCAAAGAUCACAACCAAAUAUAAUCUUAGCUACUGUUCAAGAUAUAAUCAAAACAUAAUUGUAAGCCUAUGAGAACGCAGUAUCAUCUGGAUAUGUGUGCAACAAAAGUUCAACAUUCCCCUUCUGCUACCAUUUCUGUCAAGCCAUCUACACAUACAGUAUGAUGCAUAGGCACUAGCGGUUCUGGAGGGGGGGGGGGGGAUUAUCAGCAACCAUCACUCCUGUGUUCCAAUGGCACGUUGUGUUAGCUAAUCCAAGUUUAUCAUUUUAAAAGGCUGAUUGAUCAUGAGAAAACCCUUUUGCAAUUAUGUUAGCACAGCUGAAAACUGUUGUUCUGAUUAAAGAAGCAAUAAAACUGGCCUUCUUUAGACUAUUUGAGUAUCUGGAGCAUCAGCAUUUCUGGGUUCGAUUACAGGCUCAAAAUGGU